UUAGUGUUCUUUUGUUAUUAAACCCUGUUUAUUUCACCAUCUUGCAUUUGGGUCUGGUUUGUCCCGUGUUCGUGACACUGUCCAUGCAGAUCAAUCCCCAGCAGAGUGCGCACCGGGCGACGAGAGUCCAACUAGGGCCUAGUGUUUAAGGUGUUAUAGUACUACAUGGAAGACUGUGAGUUCAAUUCCCCAGUCCACCAAGCUGCCACUGCUGGGCUCCUGAGCAGCCUUCAAUUGCCCAGCUGUAUAAAAAUGAGACAAAAACCAUGGAGUUUCCAAUUGGGAGGUGACGGUAAUCAUCCUCGCACAGACAGUGUAAUUUGCUGUGCACUUGGAGCCACAGUGAUGAAGAAGGAGAAAGAGGGUCUCUUUGAAACUCUGUGCUGAGUCUAGGAACACCUGGAUCCUUUUCGCAACUACAAAGCAGAAAGACUGAAAAAGAAGCCCUGGUACUGAUUAACCAGCCACCCCUCCUUCCCUCUGCCACCGAAGGCGAAUGCACAAGAGCAAAAGGCACAUACACACACGCACGCACACACACACACACACACACACACACACACACACACACACACACACACACACACACACACACACACACACACACACACACACACUCAUGCAAGCACAUGAAUUAUCUCCACUAGAUCAGUAGAGAUGUCUGCUCCCUUUGAGGGCCACCAUAUGGAUUGAUUUUACAUUAAAACAAGACUGGUGAAUAUUAAACACGCUUACUGUAACUGAACUGCUCUCUCUCUCUCUCUCU